UAAGACAGUAAUGUGUAGCAAAAGUGUCA
rnacentral:piRNA from 1 species